rnacentral:lncRNA from 1 species
CCCAAGGGUGGCCUCCCAAGAUCACUGCAAGUAUUGGAUGUCCAUUAUUGUGACAAUGAGGAGCUAAAGAGGAAUUGCCGUAAGUUAAGAGGAACCAUCCCAAAGAUCAUAAUUUAACCUGACCAAAGGUAACAGCUGCUCAUUCCUACUUCCUACUCACUAAUUUCCCCUGCCUUUGCCUAACCUCUGAAGCAUCCGAGUGGUUAUUCUCUGUUUUGUUCAGUUCAUUCAAAUUGCUGCCAUUCCACCUGUAUAACUCACUCCCAUACACACCUGUACUUUCAAAAACUAUAGCAUGCCCAGAUCAUUUGUUUUUUGGGUAUGCUUUCCCUUGUUACCAGGUUAUUUGAAGUUCUGAAGAAUGUUUGUUUCAAUAUCGUGCAGGGCUCUGUGUCUUUUAGCCUUGUAGAUAUUCUAUUUAUCCAUGCACAUCUGGCGCACGAGGCUUGUGUGGUAUCUUUCUGUGCAUAAAUCAG